CACCACGGCAAUGCCAACGCUGAGGUUGGUGCUGGCCCCUGCCCCAGCCCCCUGCGGUGCGCAGGACGGCGGGUGGGGGCAGGGAGGGCGGUGGCUCGCGCCACCUCACACCCAGCCAGUGCCUCACGUGGCACCCGACCUGCUGGGCCAAUCUGAGCCCGGGUGGCAUCAAAACCAUACCCUUUCGGCCAAUGACAGGACACGGCACAUCACUUUCCGCGCCCAGCCAAUCCGUGCAGCAGCCCGCCGCAAGCCUUCCCCUGCUGCUGCCCAAUCAGCAGGUGGGGGGCGGUUGCCACGUCAGCUGUGGUGGGGGUAGUCGGAGCGCCGCUGCAGUCUCCAGGCAGAACAGUCGCCGCGUCGCCUCAGUACGGACUUCCAGGGAGCUCCUCAGCAAGAUCCUGCCAGGGCUCCCUCAGCGUGGCUCUCCCCGGGGCUCCUCAGCGCAUUUCUCCCGGUGCGCCCCUCAGCGCGGUCCUCCCUGCACGGUUCUCCGCGACGGCUCCUCAGCGCGGUGCUCUUCCGGGGGCUCCUCAGCGCGGCCCUCCCCAUCUCCCUGGGAGGGUCAGAACACGGUCACCACGGAACUGGGCGGACGGCGCGGGACGGGUGAUCACUGACGUUGCUGAGGUGAGCUGUGUGCCCCGCGGCCGUCCCAGAUCACAGGCGUCAGCAGUGCAGCCUGGCCUGGGCAGUGCGCUCCCCUCCGCACCUUAUGGACAGCGUGGCCAGGGUCGGCGUCCGAGUUCCCGGCCGCAUCCCAGGGAUCGGAUUCCGGGUCUAUAGUUCGCGUGGUGGUUCAGAGUUGGCUGAAUUGGGAUUGGAGUCUGGAAUCCGCAUCGUGUUUCUGAGUCUGCGCUACUGGGACGGAAGUUGGGAAUCCAUGUUGUGGUUUUGAGUCAAAGCCCGAAUUGGGACCGGAGUCGGAAAUCCACUUAGUGGUUCUGAGUCAGGGCCCGAAUUAGGAUCGGAGUUGGGAAUCCCCGUUGUGGUUCUGAGUUAGGUAUCCUAGUUGGAAUCAGAAUUCGGGUCUAGGAUCCACAUCCUGACUGGGAGUUUGCCUGAGUUGGGAUCUGAGUAGUUGGGGUCCGAGUCAGUCCAGGUCUGGAGUCCGCAUAGUGGUUUUAGGUUGGGCCUCAUUAGGAACAGAGGAUCAGGAGUCUGAGUUGGGGACCUGAAUCCCGUUCUGGAGUCUGCAUCAUGUCUCUGAGUGUAGAUCCAAGGGAGGUCCGAGUUGGCGACUGGAGUCAGGGUCUGGAGUCUGCCUUUGGGUAGAGGUUCUGAAUAGGGGGGUCUGAGUUAAGAGAUUGGGGCUAGAGGUCUGAGUUGGGUAUUGGAGUCAGGAAUUGAAGUUGAAGUUCUGCGUCUAGGUGGGGAUUCUGAGUCAGGAAUUAGGGGGCGAAGUAAAGAUUGCAGUCUGAGUUGGGGGUGGUGAUCACCUGCCAGGUGAGAGGCAGUGGUAGAAGUCUUGGUCAUAUUGGGGAUGAGAGUCGAUUGGAUGGAGGUCUCAGUCUGGGUAGUAGGCUUGAAGGGCCAUCACUGCGUUCAGAUCCCAGUGCCCCACUGUGGUCCCUGAGCAGGUCAAAUAGCCUUAUAAAAUUGGGGGUAAGAGUGCCUUCCCACAGAACUGUUCUGGGUAUGAAAGUUCUGUCUUAGAUUAUCACAACGUAUAAAAACUUUCCUGAUAAUAUCCACAUUUGAUGUGCAUUUACCAGUUCUUUCUAUAUUGUGGUGCCCCUCUUGCUAGACCAAAAGCUCCCAGGGAGGAACUCUGUUUUGUUUUCUGCUGCCUGCCCUGUACCCAGCCAAGAGCCUGAUACACAGCCUUGCUCAGUCAGUACUUGAAGGAAAGCAGGCAGGCAGGAUUAACCAGAUUUCUAUGGUGUCUCAAAUGAUCCAUUUCUGCACCUGUUUUCCAGAUACUCACUAGGAGAAAAAUUUAAGGAUUGAGUUGCUUGAUUAUGGUUGUAUUUUAAUGUGUUUCCUAACAUGCUGAGGAGAAAAGUGGGUCUGUUUCAGGAUUUAUGCUCCAGCUAGAGGGAUCUUUUUAAAUUGCGAAUCAGAGCAUGUCCAAAUUCAGAUAGAGAGCACAGGAAAACUAUAAAGAAUUUCCCUUAUGAAUGUAGAUGCAGAAGUUCCGUGUACAACGUUAGCUAACCAAAUCCAGUAAUAUAUAUUAAACAAUUCUUAAACAAGUGGGAUUUCUCUUAGGAAUGCAAAGAUGAUCCAAUAUCAGAAACUUUAUCCAUAUAAUUCACAUUAAAAGGCUACAGGAGAAAAACCAUAUGGUUCUCUCAAUAGAGGCUGAAAAAAUGAUGUGAUAAAGUUUAACGCCUGUGUGUGAUUUGGGGAUAGUGGAGGACACCACUUAGCAAGCCCGGACUAGAGAGGAACUUCUUCAACUUGAUACAAGUUAUAAACCAAAACUUAACUUUUCAGUAAACUUGAUAGAGAAAUUAAAAAUAUGUAAUUCUCUUUAAGAUAAGGAGUAGGCCAAGGAUGUCAUCUUGGCUAUACCCUAAUACAAGAAAACGAAAUGGAGAUGUGAGGAUCAGAUAGGAAGUCAUAAAACUUAGUGUAGCUCAUAGGAUUGAUGGUCUCCAUAAAGGUUCUCAAACAUUUUGGUGUUACGACCCGUUGUGUUCUUAAAAAUUACUGAAACCCCUAAAGGGCUUUUCUUGAUAGAGAUUCUAUCUAUUGAUGGUUACCAUCUUAGAAGUUAAAACUAAGAAAUGUUUAAAGCAGAACUAUACAAGCACAUAUUCCAGUGGGGUCAUGGUGUGCUGCCUCUGGAAAACCCUUUAUCUUUGUGAGAAUGAAAGAAACGGCAAAUAAUGUCUAAGUAUUAUUAUGAAAAUGUUUCUGACCUUUCCUGAAAGGGUCUGGGGGGCUCUCUGGAAUCCCCAGACUACACUUUGAAAAUGACUGGGCUACAUGGAAAAAAAAAUUAAGAAACUUACAACUAAAGAGAGAUUUCAAAUUUCAGAGAGGUUUUAGAUAUAAGAUCAGUGUACUCAAAACAAAAAACAAAAACAAACCACAUUUCUUUAUGCUAAACAAAAGCAUAAUAGAGAUUAAGACAGCAAUCAGAAUAGCAACAAAAUUUAUACCAGUCUAGGAAUUAACAAAGAUGAUGACUUUUAUGGAAAAAAAUUCUAAAACUCUAUUGGAGGGAUAUAGAGGGAGAUCUUUCCAUAUGCAGAGACAUUUUAUUUUCUUGAAUGGGGCAACUUAGCAUUAGAAUGAUGUCAGGAUUUUCCAAAUCUGUAAGUUCAAUAGGACUCCACUCCAACUUCCAGUUGGAGGGCUUGAGUAAUUUAACAAACAUAUUCUAAAAUGUAUGUGGAAGAAAAAUAUUUGUAAAUGCCAACUGAACUUUUAAAAAGGAGAGCAGAGGACUUCUGCUGGCAGAUACCAGGGCACACGCCAAGCUUCAGCAAUCAGAGCAGUGUAGUGACAGAGGCCCAGAAGAGAGCUCAGAGGUAACUCCAAGUCUAGAGGAAGGGGACAUGUGAUAAAGGUGGCACCACAUAUCAAUGGGGACUGUUCAGAAGAUGAUGUUGGAAGGCCAGCCCUAAAAUGGAGGAAUAGGAAUAUGGAUUCCUAACUGAACCCCUAGGAAAAGUAGGCUCCAAAUGGACUAAAGAUUUGAAAGCAAAAGGUAGUUGCCAUUUGUUUAAUAGGAGAAAAAAAUGAAUAAUCUCCAGGGCCAGGGUGGCCAUGGGGUUAUUAAACAGGAUCCAGAAAGCACAAACCUCAAGACUAAAACGUAUGCAUUUGAAUACAUUAAUGAUUAUGGAUUAAGGAUUUCUGUUAAGUAAGUCCAUCAUGGCAAUGGUCAGGACUGUUUUCAUAAUAAUACUAAGGAAAUGAUUUGCCUUUUUCACUUUUACACUCAUGAAUGUAACUGUGCCAUGACUAGUUACAAGGUAUUUGAAACAAUUAAAGUUGAGAAGGGAACAACAGCUAAAAUAUACCAGAAAGCACCACACAUCAUUAAGAUAAAGGUAGGAAGAUUGGCAGUUUGCAGGAGGGUUAACAAAUAGAUUAAAAUUUGCCCAAGCUAAUCAGUUAUCAGAGAAAUGUAAAUGAAAGCAACAGCUAUUCUUCGUAGGAGAAGCAUUAGAAAGUAGGAUAAGGCCAAGUGUUGGCAGAAGGCAGGGAACAAGCCUCCCUGUGUGCUGCAGGUGGGGACGGAGACAGGCACAGACAUUCUGGAGAGCCAGCCAGUACUUCUUCCUCAAAUAAAAUAUUUUAUACCUGUGGCCCAGCAGUUUCCCUCCUGAGUAAACAUGCUGGAGCAGUUCUCACCCAGAACAACGAGAGGCUGUGUGUGUGCAUGCUCAGGGCAGCAUGGACGAUGGGGGUGGGCAGUUGGAGCUGGUCACUGUGGUUAGGAGCAGGGGACUAGAUGUACACUUCACGAGAUAGAGACGUGUGGAAACACAGUGCUGAGUGACACAAAUGCCAAACAGAAUGAGUGCCUCAGUACAUGACUGUGUAUUUAAAUUAAAAUUACACACCACCCAGACAUGCAGUACUAGGGAGUGCUCGUGAGUGCACACACACACAAUGAUAUAAAUAAAUUACCCUGGAGCAGCUGUUUGUGCAAGGAGGGGAGCAAGGAUAGAGGAUAGAGAUGAAGUGGAAAAGCAUGGAGAGGAAGAGAGAGGUGCCUUUAUGCAGACCCUUACAGGGUGAUGGUGUUUCAUAGGCUGAGGGCUGUGAUCAACUCUGUGCAGAGUCCCAAAAGCCAAGAAUGAACGAAUGAAUGUGCGUCCAUGAGUCUCCUGCCAGAUACCCUCUAAUGACUUCUAUUUCUAGGAAAUAAAAUUCAAAUUCCAUCAGGUUUUUACAAGAUCUGCCCUGCUUACCUCUCUGACCACUGUCCUCCCUCACUGAGCUUUGGCUCUGCCAGCCUUCUUCUUCUUUGUUAAAUCUGCCAAGUAUCCCUCCUACCCCAGGGCCUUCACCACCUCUGCCUGGCUUGUCCUUUCUGGUGAUCUUCCCUUGACAAUUCCUUCUUAUUAUUUAAAUCUCACAGGAAAUUUUGGUCUGACCUGCCAUAUCUGUCAUCCCCUUUAGUCACUCACUAGCUGAGGACUACAUUUCAAGUCUCUGCAAAGCACAGGCUAUGCUUUUCUAGUUUCUUAGGCAUCUACUUAUUUGUUGGCUGCCUAUCUCUUCCACCGGAAGGGAGGCCCCAAGAGAGCAUAUGUGUCUUCUGUAUAGGGUCCGCACGUGGUGGGUGUGUCACAGAUUUCUGUUGAAUGGUUUCAUUCAUUUAUUGAAUGAAUGAAGAGGUCAGGCCAGGAAAGUGUGCAUCCAUUUUGACAACUCAGUGAGAAAGCAAAUAGCAUGUCAAAAUCUGACCCCUUACAACCAGGGUUUCUUAGCCAACCACACUGGUAAUGCUUGGGACAGGAUGUAUCUUUGUUGUAAGGGGCUGUCAUUUAUAUUGUAAGAUAUUUAGUAUCCUGCCUGGUCUUUACCUAGUAGAUAUUAGUAAUCCUCCCAUAGUUGUGAUAGCCAAAAAUGUCUCCAGACAUUGCCAUAUGUCCCCUGGGGGGCACCCCAGAUGACAACCACGUCCUUAGACCAGCUCUUGGGACUGGGAUGGUAUCUCUGCUCUGGCUCUUUAAAUGCAGCAGGCCCUGGCUUGCAUCCUGCCACUUCUAACACCCAUAGCCUCACUACCUCUGUGAGAAAGACCCCGUCCCAGGCCUGGCCAAUCAGAGUACCCUCUUCCCUGGUCAGCAGUAUAAUUUGAGUUUGGCAAGUAUUUCCAGUCCCACAACCUAUGGGCUGCCACCCAGGGGUUUAGUUGGAACUACGUUUCAGCUGCAGUCCCUCAGCCGUCUAUAGCAUGGGCACCUGUGGCUUGACCAAGUUGGAGGUGGCCUAGAGAGGCCAGGCUGGGCCUGCUCACCUUCUCCAGUUAGUGCAGACUGAUGAAUGAGUGGUUCUCAGCGGAUACUGGAUCCAGGUUUGCAGUACACUCCAGGAGGAGGACGAGAAAGGUUUCCCUCAGAGCAGGCCUGGAUGGGAGGGCAAGGAGUGGCCUCUAAUACUGCCUUUCCUUCUGGUGCCUCUAUCAGCCUGUGCCAUGCUCCUCUGAACUGACCGGCCCCAGCAUGUCUAGGUUACUGGCAAGAGCCUGGAUAACCCAGGGUUCCAGUCAGACCAUCCAGGAAGGCCCAUGAGGCUGGAGCGCACCCAGUCUCUGGCAGUUCUGUCUGCGGAACUAAAAGCCUUUCUCCCAGAGCCUUUCCUACGGCUGGGCGAGGCUCUUGUUUGCAAUUUAAAUGGAGCCUCAUUUAUGGAAGAAUCCCUGCUCCUCCGAAAAGCCUUGGGCUCAACCUCCCUAGCUGCCCGGGCCUCAGCCAGGAGAAGAAAUGGAUCUAAAAGGCCUUUCUCCUGCUAAUUGUAGCAAUUAGCAUUAGAGAAUGGGGACUCGAUGGGGGGCCACUGCCUAGCAAAACAAGCUUAUUCCCAGCUUAGGCCCAGGCCCAGCUCCACACACUGCUGCUUGGCCAGACUCGGCCCCCACCCAGGGUCUGGCUGGCUUCAGGGCAGGGAGAGAGGGCCCAGGCCUGCGGGUGCUAAGAGCAGUUGUGGAGGGCGUGCAUCUGAGUUGUUAAGACAGGUGGCCAUACAGGUAGCCCUGGGCUAUGACUUGUGGUCCUCUCAGAAAAGGGCCUGACUGGAAUGCAGAGCCAGACCAGAUAUUCAUGAGCGGAUCAUAGAGUAUAGACUGAGGGCUAUCUGGUGAUAUGACAGAAAGUAGUCUUGCAGCAAAUGACUCUUAAGAUUGAGUAAGGAGCCAUUCCCCUCUAUGGCUAACUGGAAGCCUUUCUCUCCCCCUACUCCAGAAAGGACUUCCUGUUCCUUCACUGAGUGUGCUUGCUUAUGAGGCUUCUGGGAACCAGGAGAGUUCAGUGGGCCUCAUUAUUGAGCAUAUGGGCACCACAACCUGCUUGUGACAUAGGCCAUGCUACAGUUGAUUUUAGCCAGCUUGCUGCAUCUACACAGCACAGUGCCUUCCCAGGCAGUGAAUUAUGUCUGACAGGCAGGGGAAAUGAUCAUUGCCUCAUUUUAGGGAUGCAGUCAUUCAAGAAAUAUUUGUCAAACACUCACCAGGUACUAGACCCUGGCCCAGCGGGAGGGAUUUGAUAGGAGCAGGGACCUGCCUGCCCUCUGAGGGUUUGUGGACAAAGGGGAGAAAGACUAAUGUUGAAGGACCAUUUGCACCCUGAGGGGAGUGUUGAGGCCUGAGAGCACAGAAGGUGUAUAGCAGGAACCCACUGGAACUAGCCUGGGGUCUGAGAAACUCCCCUGGGGAGAGUGGCAGGGGCAGGCCAAGGGCCCUCUGGUGGUAGGGAGCCCGUGAGCACCUGGGAUGGAAAGAAGCCAAGAAUCUGAACUACCAGAAAGGCAGCUGCAGGAUUAAGCAAGACCCACAGGUCUCUAAACUUUGAAAGGAUUUCUGUCCACUGAGUAGAUAAUUGAUUGGAAUGGGGCAGGGAAUGUGAGAACGCCAAUUAGGAGGUGCCUGCAGUACAGAGAAACGGUGGCCUACCAGGGCAGUGGCAAUAUGGAUGGAGGGAAGCAGGGAACCUCUAGAACUAUGGAUGGGUGAAGUAAGCCUGGCUUGGUGAUGGACUUGAUGCGGGUGGUGAGGAAGGGGGUGUAUCAGAAAUGACCCCAGAGCUUCUGGCUUGUGCCACUGAAAGGGUGGGUGACAGACAGGGACCUUCAGUAGACUGGGGUAUAAAAUGAUGGAGGCUGUGGAGAGGAGGUGGGGGCAGGUGACUGAAAUGUGGGGUGGGUCUGGCUGGGUUAUAGAGACAUUUUGGGGGAGUCAGGGCCUCACAGGUGGUCCGGAAGCCCUUGGUGCUGAGGGAACAGCUUACGGAAAUGGUUUGCAUAGAGAAAGGCACUGGCAUUUAGUGGCUAUGCCAGGAGGGAGAACCUGCCAAGGAGACUGAGCAUAGAGCCAGAGAGAUGGCAAGAAAGCCAGGAGAACUGGGAAAGAGGGAUGGAAAAGAGGACCUAGGGGUAAUGGUCCUGGCAGAGGUCACAUUGGAUCCAGUGCUUGUGAUUCUCUGAUUGCUGGCGGUGGAUGGCCACUGGCCUGCAAAUUGCCCUAGUGGAAUGUUCCCUGCCUUUGUGCCUCCCUAUGGGCUGCCUUUCCCCUGGACAGAUGGGGAGAGACCCUCUUCCCCACCUGGUUCUCUGUUUCACCCUUGGAACUGUGGCAGUAAAGAGGACCUCUCCACAGUACAUGCAGGGAACAAGCUGGGUUGACUCCCUCAGGGAGGCCUCGUCCUUCCUGAGGUAUUUUAUAACCUCGAAAGGAUAGAGAAAUCCCCCCAACUUUAAUACAAAGCCAAGCAAGCUGAAAAAUGGCCUUGAAUAGGCUGAGAUGAAAAAACAAAGAGGCUGUCAACAUCAGGACUCAGUGGGGGCAGGGAGCUUCAGUGGACUGCCCACAGAGGCCUGAGCCAAAGAUGUCAGGAUGGGUGGUCACUGUAAGGGCAGUGGAUCGCAGCUCUUUUUCUUGUCAUCUCUCCUUCCUGAUUAGCAGCUCAAACACCCUUCCGAGACUCAAGGGGUUAACUGCAGAUCCUCUAACUCCUCCACUUGCUAAUUUUUAAACACAGCUGAGCUCUGAGCACCCCUCCCAAGGCUGUGAGAGGCCAGAGGCCAGCACAGACUCUGCACCAGGUCUGCACAGCCUCCACCCCAAGUGUUGUCAGGAAUCUGCAGGCAUCUAGAACAAAGGUGCCUCCAUUAUUUCCCUCACCCAGCAUAUCCUGAUACCUGAACUAAGACUUCAUCUAGAGCUUUUGCCCACUUCAUUGAUGGUCUGGUCGGCUUUUGUUGACACAUAUCCGUGACUCCCAAAUGAACCUUUAAGGUUGGCUUAAAGCAGCUGGGACCUACACAUGACAAAACCCAGCUGGAAACAGUGGCUUACACUUCUGUGCCCCCAAAGAUACCUGCUCCUAACAGUGGGAGUGCCAAAGCCUGGAAGCUGGAAGCCAAGGAGACAGGGAGCUCCCUCCUGCUGACCCCCUGCCAGGCCAUAUCCACCUAAGGGGUUUGGGAUCAUACUCCAUCUUCAACCACUGGGAUCAAAUGGAAACCCCUUAGGAAUUCUGAGAGACAGCCCUUAUACCUAUGUGCACUGACACACAUACACUGACAAAUAUGCAUUCUGACACAUAUAUGAACAUGCACAUACAUUUGCCUCACUCCCUGCCAGGAGGUGGGUUCUGUCCCAUCUUUGACAUGUUACUUCUUGUUCUUCCCUAGGCCCACCUUCUUUGUGAUGGGCGCUGAGACCCCCUCACUGGGUCCAGUGGCUGUUCCCAGGACCCAGCCUCUGUUCUUAUCUUACCCAACUGUAGUUCCUAGGACCCCAGCUUUUCUCAGGGAGAGAGAUAGAGCUCUUUUGGUCUGGCAUAUGUUCCAUGCCAAGUAGUUGAGACAGCAGCCACAGGGCAGCCUCAGACUUGAUAUCAUUUAAUCCUUGUAACAUUCCUACAGGGAGGAAGACACUACACACACGUGCAGAUGCAGCAAAGAGCAGCUCAGCCACAUGGAAUGACUUGCUUGAGGUCACCGGACACUUGACACAACAGAGUUUAGCCCAGUCUCUGGAGAGACCAGCCCUCCACAUCCUGUCAUGCUGGAGAGGGCUGCCAGCUUUUGUCCCUGCUCCCCUAGUUCUAACCCCGGAAGAGUGAUUGUCCCUGCUCUGCCUUCAACCCAGACAGAAGCAGGCUAGAAGAGGGGAGGAGAGGCAGGGCUGCCCCUUGGAAGGCUCACCUUCCUCACCAGUUCUCUGCUUGGACAAAGGUCUUCCAAGCAGCCAGGUUCUGAGGCUAGUCACUGUCAUCAUUGGGUGAGGCAGCCUAGGAGUACCAGAGGUUGGAGCAGUUGGGAACCUUCCCCAGGGAAGGGGCUGGAUAGGCAGGGGUGGGUGCUCAGUGGCAGGCCACAACUAGGCACCUGGGAGGGCCAAGCACCACACUGAGAAUGCAGUGCUUCCCCUCCCCUCCUGGGCUGCUCAGGAACCAAAUACCACCCAUCAGCCUUCUGUAAACAAAUGAGACUAAGUCUCUGGCACUCUUGGCCCAAGUGCAAAGGGCAGCUGCCCCUGCAGCUACUCACUCUGUCCUGGCCCUCUCAGGAGGCUAUGUGACCUCUGCACCUGCUGGCUUGUUUUGUUCCUAAAAUACGUGGAUGCUUGAGAACCUAGAAGAUACCACUGCUAACAGAUUUCCACAUCAUUCAUUCUGUUCUUCCUGUGCAAGUCUAGUGCUGGGACAAGGACCAUAAAACAAGGUGACCCAAAACUUUUAGCAGAAUGCAGGUAGGCAGGACAGAGGUCUCUGGGAGUGUCAUUCCAAGGCAGUGUCUUCCUCCUCCCCUGUGCUCCCCAUUUCCCAAGAGUGGGCUUCCUCCACCCCACUCAGGCACCUCUUCCCAAGGCUGACCUAAAGGCCUCAAGCUCUGCGGAUAGGGGCAGUCCUGAGGUAGCACUGAAUCUUAGGGUUGGAGUGGGAGAUAUCUGUGCAAAGGCUGCUAGGAACGUCCCCCAAGGACUGACUUCAAAGCUUGGCCUAAACCACUGCAUCAAAGUCAGCAAGCUGAGCUGUUUGCACAGAAAAGGAGGAGGGGCAGGCCCUUGAGCCACCUGUAGCUCUCCUUAGGGUCUCAGGCCUUCGCACCAGAGCAGGCCUCGGGCCAGACCACCCAACUUCUAGGCCAGAUGUGCCACUGGGGAGGAGGAGGACUGCCCCUCAAAACACUGCAGCCCAGGACUCCAGGAUUCCAACCCAGGGACCUGAAGGCUCCCCUGCUCUCCGGAUCAGACCCCUACUCUCAGAGCCAUAGGCCCAGUGGGGGACAGCCUGUGAGAGAGGCCUGUGUGGGGUGGCCCUAGCCCCACCUCUGCUUCCAACCUGACCUUGCUACAUGACCUCUGGCCCAGCCCUCUCCACCUGGAGUGCCAUCUCUCUUUGUGGGGUGGGCCAGGUGGGCUGUGUGUGGGGGAGGGCAAGUAUAUAGGUAUGAUAUAGGUGGACACUGCCACAGUACCCAAUAGCAGUUCAGAGCCAGGCCACCCAAUUUGUAUGCCAGCCCCAGCUGGGCUUAGGCACAUGGUGUGUGGAAAUAAACAAAAUAGGCAGCCCUAGGGUCAGGAGGCAGGUCCAGAGCUCACCCAGGUGCAGCCCAAGAUGAGUGCCUGGCUUCAGUGAGCGAGCACUGGCUGCUAUUGCUGCUGUGGUGUGGAACCCUGACACCAGGGCCACUGGCCUGGCUGUGUGACCUCUACCUCAAUACCCAGAGCGGGGCAACCAGAGGCAGAGUCUCAGUGUGGUGUUCUCCUGUGAAAUAGUGAUGGCACAGGCAGGGGCUAGGGCCCAGUGCCUGCAUGGAGGAUCAACAAAGGAUGGCAAUUAUUGAAACCUCUAUGGGGAAGUUCCCCAGACACCAGAGGAAGACCCCCGUGGAGGCCAUGUGUGUGACGUGCUUAGAUUUUCCAGAGUCUUCAUUUUCCUUGUCUAAACAGAGGUCAUGGCGCCUCCUUCUCAGAUCAAACAGCCCUGUAUGAGUGGCUACAACCUUUGGUGGGCUCAGGGCAGCCCCUCCUGCCCCCUUGCUUAGGAGCCGUCUGCAGAGGCCUAGGGAGCUGCGUGGGGUCUUUCCACCUCAGCCUCUCUCCCCACCCCCACCAGGUCCCCUGCCUGACUCCCCUGCCUUCUAGCAUACCCAGGCCCUAGAAGCACCAACUCCACGGCUGCAGCUGAGUGGAGUGUGUGCCUGCCCAAGCCUAGAGGGGUACUGACCCCUCCCUCGCACGAGGAGACAUCAAAGGGAAGCAGGAAGCAGCGGCCUGGCUGACCCACAGCAGGUGGGAGAAGUGCAGCCUCACAACUGCUGGGGAUUUUCCAUCCCACCAGGAUUUCCGCGGGACACCCCAAGUCCAGCCUUUGAGGCUCCUCAGGAACCAGGGUUUGGCCUGGAGCCAGCUGGGGCAGAGGAGGGGGCCAGGCUGGGUGGUUUAGGGGUGUGGUUAGGCCUGCUAGGGGGCUCCUCUUCUGAGUCUCCCCAUGAUUUGCUGGUUACUGGUUGAAAUCUGAGCCCAGACCCAUUCCAACACUGAACCCUGAGGUCCCUGAGACCUAGCUGGCAAGGACAGGUCCCAGUUUUUACAGGGGCCUGAGAGGAAUGAAGAAGGGAUCUCCACCCCUUCCCUUCUCAGUCACACCUCCUUGACAGGGGGUCAUCAGAGUGGGCUGUGGUAGGUGCACCAGGGAAGGGACCAUACAGAGGAGGCUAGUCUCAAAUCCUAGGGUGCCUGGGAUGGCCCUAUUGAAAUGCAGGAGCUCCUGUGCAGACAGGGAUCUGUAUGGACAGCUGGGUGGACACAGGUGCCUGCUGACCUCCCAGAUCCUUCAGCAGAGCUCAGCCCUGAGUGACAGCCCAAGGCAGGCCUGGCUACCUCAGCCUCUGGCUCACAGCCCUCAGCCAGAGCCCUGAGAGGCCUGGGAUCUCAAAGCUGCAAGGUGAGAGGCCAGGGGAGAGAAGCCCGAAGCUGGUAGUGAUGCUGGCUAAGUGAAAAUUGCACCUGUCCCAGCACUGUGAUGCUCCCUAUCCAGCCUGGGCUUUUGGCAGCCUUCUGUGCUUUGUGGAGGAAGCUGGCUCAGAUUCCCCACCUCCCUGUGCAGUUUGUGUGUCAAGGUGUACUUGUCACACCCAACUCAGGGUGUCUUGCAUCACUUCCUGGGUCAUUGUCCCCAAGAGCUGGGACUGCUGAGUUUUGGCCCUAAGCUCUUGCUUCCAUCUUAGCAAGUCAGGGCCCAGCGUUGUCCUUGCCUUUGUGCAUCAGGAUGGUAAGCUGGGCAUGCUCUGCAUCACAGAGACCUGCAUGGACCUGGAUUGGGUUGCCUCUAUCUUCAGGCUGGUCACUGGGCAGACACAAACCAGGGCCUCUGGUCAGAGGGGACAAUGGCUUUGAUACUUUUGCUACUCUUUAGGGGUGAGCAGGGGCUGCUUGUGCAUCGUAGUGCAUUAUAGGGGAUGCACAUUUACAGUUGAAAGCUACUGGUCCUGAGUAGAAGUGGGGCUGAGUAGGACUUCCCAGCCUUGAACAUGGGGUUGUCAUCCAACUGGGACCCACAUUUGAUCCAGCAGCCAUGCUCUGUGCAACCUAGGCCUGAGAGUAGCCAUGUUCAUGUGAAAAAUGCUAGUAGCAAAGCUGUCAUUCUGGUCACCACAGCUGUCCUUGCAGGAGCACAUUGCCCAGGGCUGGGAGCUGUCAUUUCCGUGACAGGAGUGAGACGCAACAGUGGGUGAGGGUGGGGGUAUCUGUUGGGAAUUAUUUCAAAACAAUUGUGGAAACUUGGCAGUGGAGGGGCUCUGGGCAUAGGUAUCCAUAAUAUCCUAGUCAGGGGUUGGGGUACCCUGGCUCUGCUGAUAAGCCCAAGUGAACAUGCUCCUCCCCCAGCUUGGAACAGGUGGAAUGGGCCAGGUGACACUCAGUGUAGUCUGUGGUCUGGCCUCCCAGGCCAGUGGCAGUACUGGGGUGGCAGACAUUUGCUGUGUACUAUCCCAAGGCCUGAAGGUCACACAGCUAGGUUGGAGCAGGGUUUUGGGCAGGAUGAAUAGGCAUUGCUGUGCUCUCAGAAAGGCAAAGCAAACCCCAGAAGCAAGGGGGUGAGACAGGGCAAAGGCCUACGCUUUGCCAUCAACUCAGGCCUACUCAAGGCUGGCCCUGUCCCUCCCCUGCCCUUGCCCUGCCAGAUGGUGUGAGGUGGAGGGGCUUAGAGUGAGCCCCGCUGACUCUCCUUGGUGUGGAGACUUGUGUGGUGUGUACAGGCCUCACCCGUGUGACCCAGCAGGAGAAUGGGAGAGUGGGCCCAGAACUUGGUCAGGCUCAUCUGUGGAGAACAAGUUCUUCCCUAGUCCAGUUGUGGUCUGAGUCCUGGGUGAAGCAGGAGGCAUCCUGGGAAACAGGCUUGUUCUAGUAGGAAUCCCAUUCUCAGGAAGGCUGUGCGGGGCCCUUUCUCACUGCCAUCUGGGAGGAUGCCUGCCUGCUGGCCAUUUGGGCAGACUGUCAGAGCACCCUCCCUGGGGUCCCAGACCAAAGGCCUGAAGUCCACAUGGGGCCCCUGAACUUCUGGUGCCUGUGUGGGCUUGUCCUCUCAACCCCGAGUGGAAUGGCAACAGCCAGCUGCAACCCUCCUAGCUUCCUGUCACUUGCUAUAUGGAAGGGCCAAGAGCUAUAGUCAUCUGCAGAUCCUCCCACUGCACCUAUGGGACUAGCAUCUCCUGUCUGGAUGUGAGCAACUUGCUGGUGGCCUGUGAGGUGGGAGGUGCACUGGGCUUCCGGAUAAGGGUUUCUUGUUCAGGUGACAACUCUAUGUGAAGGAGACCCAUGGACACGCAUCUAUCCCCUGCCCAUGUACCAGGCAGAGAUGUGGGUGAACUCUUCCAUGACAUGGCAGGGUCCCUGAAACAUCAGACAGAUCAAUACUCUGUGUGCAUGUUUGUGGGCAAGACACAGUGGUGGCAUGUGUGCCAUGGAGUUUGGUAAUGGGAGGACUGAAGUAGUGCCUCUGUGUGUGAGCUGUGCCAGCCAUCCCCACGAAGGGGGCAUUCCAUGUAGAUGGGGAUCCUCUCUAGGCAACCUCUUCCACACCUGAUUAGCUCUGGCCAUCAGACUCCUCAUGCCAAAAGGGACCCUUCCCUGGAAUCUGUAAUUCUCACAGGCUGUCCCAUACAUUUUAAAUCCAGGAAAUGUGCUCACCCAUGAGACAGGGAUGGUGGAAAGGUAUGAAUGAAAAGCAGCCAGUCCUUAAAAUUGGAAGCCAUUUCACUCCUUACCAGGUACAAAGAUAACAUGCUGCGUGGAUCAGGAACACAAACUAACCUACCUUAUGAUGUAGUGAAAGAAUCUGUAAAACUUUUAUCUCAGCAUACUCCCUGGAGGAAGCCAAGCACAGGAGGCCUUGACUAGGAGACCUCAAGCCUUGGCAUGUGCCUAGACCAGUGGGGAGGGAAGGCUGGGAGGCAGUCCUCCCUUACCCCUUUUCUCCCAGGCAGACCUGCCCUGGGUUCUCCCCAGGCCUCUCAGGCCGAGCAAGUGCUCAGUUGGCCACUAGCUCCCUGCAAGUCCAGCAAGUCUUUCUUUCCUGUUCCUUCUUCAAGGAAGGCUUAGCCUCAACUCCAGGGCCACAGACAAAGGACAGUCACUCUCCUCUGCCAGAAAGUCAUUUAUGGGACAUGGAGAAAGCAUCAAAUAUAUUGCUUUUCCAACACCUAAGAGUGGAAUAGGAGGAAUGAAAGGGGAAAUCAGCCAGAAAGUUCUGGAUCAUAGUCUUUUUGCCAAAAUAACAUGUUUUCAAAUGAAAGAGGAUGGUCCUGGGGCACUGAGGAAUCAGGGGGAUAGACCCCACUGGAGCUUGUCUCAUGCUGGCAGCAAGUCCCAGGCCUCAAACACAUACCUGGGCUGCCUCAGGAGAGAGACUGCAGGGAAGAAAUGAGUUGCAAUGCUCCAGCCUAACCAACUCCCCUUUUGUUACUUAAUCCAAUCCCAGAAGGUACUGGGUAGGGUCAAUUAACAAAUAGCUGCCUGUCUCCUGGCAGAGUCUGACCAAGGCCCAAUGGGCGCUUCUCUUCCUAAAUCCUCUGGUGUACCCCAUUCUUCAAGGGAAACAGUCCCCUUAAGAUUCUAUGUGAAAGGGUUCUGAAAUCACUGUACCAGUUAAUGAAUUAUUUACUCUAAACAAUGACUUGAUAAAGGGAGAGGAUGAAGUUAGCUGGUGUUGACUAAGGAGAGACAGAGUUGCCAGGGAAAUUCUUCUAAAUGAAAAAAUAAGAAAAAGCAGUCAUCCAGUUUUGUCUGACAGUGAAACGUGUCACAGAGCAUGCACCUUUGGCCAUCUUUUGCAUUUGUGAUUUGGAAGAGAGAGGCAGCAGUGAGUGUGGGGCCAGGGAGAGGAAUCCAACAAAGCUGUUCUGUGAGGCAGUGGCUGGGAUUUUGGGGUGUAGAGUAAGGGCAGCCAGUCUUAGAGGCCCAUGUCAUCUGGGCUGCCUCAGAGCUAAAGCUAGGUAACCAGAGGGAGUAAGGAAAGGCCUGAGUCCCAGGCUAGGCUUUUCACAGUUGUAUUGAGAUGGGAAAGUAAGGGAUGCUCCUUGCAGCAGAUGCAGGGCCCAGUUGGCUAGAGUAGUAUUUGAAAUGAGUUGGCAUUUCAGGGCAGUGUUUGUGAUGCCAGUCAGUAGGUAGAGGCUUCUACCUCUUUUUAAAGUCUUGCUCUAUGUUAUAAUCUCUACUUCUUCUCAGAAGUUUGAAAUGUUUACUCUGAACUAAGCUCUAUGCUUUAACAAGUUAUGUUUUAAUAGGAAAACCGUCAUUGAUGGAAUCAUAUGUAAUUCCUACAUUUUUCCAGUUACCCAUUCCUAGGGAAAGCUUAGCCAUUGGACAAACCAGCCAGAGCCCCAGGAACCUACAUUUGCAGACAGCAGUGGCAGGCAUAGUGGCCUAGUGUUGGAUGGGGGAAACCUGGCCUCUAUGUGUCUGGUUUUGCAAACUAAAAUGCCAUUGCCCAUACUCAGGCUGACAGGUCCUGGAGGGCCGUUGACUCCUGCUCUGUAUCUCACCUCUAGUUCCGUCACAGUGCAUGAGCUGUCAGUAGGAGCCUUUUAAUGCAGAUGCUAAUACCUAUUCUUAAUGCUAGCCCAUCCCCACACCUCCUGAAUUGGUGAGAUAUAUCCUGGGAACAAGAGAAUCUGAAAGCUCCUGGUCCUCAGGCUAGCAAGAGCCUUGCCUGUAAGAAGUGGGAGAAGAUCACCUCUCUCAGGAGGCAGAACUAAGGCUGCACAGCACAAGAGAGAUGUCUGACCACACAGUCUGGGUGGCAGAAGGACUCCUGUCCUUUUUUCCACAGAGACCUGAGUACCUCUCCAGGUGCCACCAUUUUCUGUCUGGGAACAUCUGCUAUCACCAAGCCUCAGUUUCCUGCUCUACAAAACUGAGAUGGUCUUUUCUAUACAAGGCCCCAGGAGGAUCACUGCAAGUCACUGCAUUUCAUGGUGCCCGGAUUUCCCUGCAUUUCUAGAAUGUUAACAGAGAUAAGUGGGCUCCAGGGGAAGAGAUUCUUUAUGACUAGAGACAUUCUGGUCGACUUUGGACCCCAGAUUCUAUGGACAAUAGCAUAUGGACAUGAGCUCUGGGGAAGUAGGGAUGACUGAGCCUGAAGAAGAGCUCUCAAGCCUUACACUCUCCAGACCAGCCUUGGGUUGCCUGAAUCCCAGCAUAGCCUCAUGGAACCCCUGCCUGGGUCCUAGCACCUAGUUUGACCUGGGCACAAGUACUCACUCACUCACUCACCAAACAUUCACGGAGUGUCCGUGACAGGCUCCCUAUGGAUUAAGCACUGAAGAUAAAA